rnacentral:rRNA from 1 species
UCCGUAGGUGAACCUGCGGAAGGAUCAUUACCACACCAAAAAAAAUAUCCACGUGAAGGUAUUCUUUAUGAAGCCACGUCAAGCUUUGGCUUGCAGUGCAGAAGGCAAUUUAUUGCCGAUGUGAUUUCAUCCCUUGAAUAAAUGACUGAUUGAGAUAGCCAUCAGAAAUGAUAGCUUGUAAUACUAUACAACUUUCAACAGUGGAUGUCUCGGCUCGCACAUCGAUGAAGAGCGCGGCGAACUGCGAUACGUAAUGCGAAUUGCAGAAUUCAGUGAGUCAUCGAAAUCUUGAACGCAUAUUGCACUUUCGGGUUAGUCCUGGAAGUAUGUCUGUAUCAGUGUCCGUCGACACCAACUUGUUUAAUUAAUUAAUUAGACAGAAUGUGAAGGUCUUGUGAAAGUCCUUUGAAAAGAAUGUCCCUUGCUCGAAGUCAGAGUAUAUUAAAUAAAGGGCUCGUGUGAUCUUGUUUCGGUAUUAUUUUAUGUUGCGAGUGCACAUAUCUGAAAGGAGAUGAAAUUGCGGUAGUUUUGCUUGUGUUUCGGCACGGGUGGACAUGUAUUGCAUUUGAAUUCGAGUGGAGGAUUUUUGUGAUUGUGGAUGAAAUAGGAGCAAGAGAGGGCGAGUCUGGUGUAUUCUAAUGACGAGGCGAGAAGUAAAUGGGAACUAAUUCAAUUUGGACCUGAUAUCAGACAAGACUACCCGCUGAAUUUAANCAUAUCAAUAAGCGGAGGA